rnacentral:rRNA from 1 species
UUGACAACUCUAGAGAUAGAGCUUUCCCCUUCGGGGGACAAAGUGACAGGUGGUGCAUGGUUGUCGUCAGCUCGUGUCGUGAGAUGUUGGGUUAAGUCCCGCAACGAGCGCAACCCUUAAGCUUAGUUGCCAUCAUUAAGUUGGGCACUCUAAGUUGACUGCCGGUGACAAACCGGAGGAAGGUGGGGAUGACGUCAAAUCAUCAUGCCCCUUAUGAUUUGGGCUACACACGUGCUACAAUGGACAAUACAAAGGGCAGCGAAACCGUGAGGUCAAGCAAAUCCCAUAAA